CAACCACAGCGAGGAGAGCAGCAUGGCCUUUGCUCAAGGAUGACAUGCAAAUUGAUGAAGUGUUCCAUAUUUUA
ensembl:snRNA U6 U6 spliceosomal RNA